UGGUGCCUACGGGGGGCAGCAGUGGGGAAUAUUGGGCAAUGGGCGCAAGCCUGGCCCAGCAACGCCGCGUGAAGGAAGAAGGCUUUCGGGUUGGAAACUUCUUUUAUCAGGGACGAAGCAAGUGACGGUACCUGAUGAAUAAGCCACGGCUAACUACGUGCCAGCAGCCGUGGUAAUACGUAGGUGGCAAGCGUUAUCCGGAUUUACUGGGUGUAAAGGGCGUGUAGGCGGGAGUGCAAGUCGGAUGGGAAAACUAUGGGCUCAACCCAUAGCCUGCAUUUG
rnacentral:rRNA from 1 species